rnacentral:rRNA from 1 species
AUGCAAGUCGUACGAGAGUUUUUAACUCAAGUGGCGGACGGGUGAGUAACACGUGAGAAUUUGCCUUUAGGAGGGGGAUAACAGAGUGAAAACGCUGCUAAUACCCCAUAUGCUUUCGAGUGAAAUGGAUUUAUUCGCCUAAAGAGAAGCUCGCGGCUGAUUAGCUUGUUGGUAAGGUAAUGGCUUACCAAGGCGACGAUCAGUAUCUGGUUUGAGAGGACGAUCAGACACACUGGAACUGAGACACGGUCCAGACUCCUACGGGAGGCAGCAGUGGGGAAUUUUCCGCAAUGGGCGAAAGCCUGACGGAGCAAUACCGCGUGAGGGAAGACGGCCUAUGGGUUGUAAACCUCUUUUCUCAGGGAGGAAAUCAAUGACGUUACCUGAGGAAUAAGCAUCGGCUAACUCCGUGCCAGCAGCCGCGGUAAGACGGAGGAUGCAAGUGUUAUCCGGAAUCACUGGGCGUAAAGCGUCUGUAGGUGGCUUAACAAGUCAACUGUUAAAUCUUGAAGCUCAACUUCGAAAUCGCAGUCGAAACUGUUAGGCUAGAGUAUAGUAGGGGUAAAGGGAAUUUCCAGUGGAGUGGUGAAAUGCGUAGAGAUUGGAAAGAACACCGAUGGCGAAGGCACUUUACUGGGCUAUUACUGACACUCAGAGACGAAAGCUAGGGUAGCAAAUGGGAUUAGAUACCCCAGUAGUCCUAGCCGUAAACAAUGGAUACUAGAUGUUGGGCAGAUCGACCUGUUCAGUAUUAAAGCUAACGCGUUAAGUAUCCCGCCUGGGAAGUAUGCGCGCAAGCGUGAAACUCAAAGGAUUGACGGGGCCCGCACAAGCGUGAGCAUGUGGUUAUCGAUGCACCGCGAGACUACAGGUUGACUUGAUACGAUUUUUUGAAGAAAAGUGCGAUGGACGUUACCAGUGUGCAUGCUGCUCAGCCAGUCUGAAGUUGUUAGUCCCGCCAC